UUACAUGGAGCGCGGAAACGCGGAAACACGGAAGAGAAUUGUAACUAGAAAAGUAACUAUUCCGCGUUUCCGCGAAUUGAGUCGUUUCUUUCCGCACAUUUGAGCGGAAUCCGCGGAAUCCGUUACCGUCUCAACAAAACUCAACAAAAGUGUAUAGAAAAUAUAAAAACUUUAUAAAUGGAUGGUCCUGAUCUCCCAAUUGCAUCUCCACAAGUAGAUUGUCGCUGUCACCUUGAAGAAGUCUUCUUGUCUCAGUAAAAAUAGCCGUACCCAUAUUUUACGGUUCUUUCUGCCUUGCAGUUUCUUCCCAAAAUGAUAUCAGUAAGUUAUCUUUUUGUAAGAUAUCUUUCAGAAGAACUCUUUAUGAUAUCUCUUCAUAGAUAUCUCUAAA